rnacentral:rRNA from 1 species
CUGGAUCGGGAGAGCCUCGCGGCCUAUCAGCUUGUUGGUGGGGUAAUGGCCUACCAAGGCAUCGACGGGUAGCUGGUCUGAGAGGAUGAUCAGCCACACUGGGACUGAGACACGGCCCAG